rnacentral:lncRNA from 1 species
GAAUUAAUUGUCAGCAUGUCUGUCUCCCUGGCAAGUUGGAGGGCAGAAAUGGCCUUUGCUCAGCUCUGAACCCCCAGUGCCUAGAACAGUGUCUGGCAUAUGGCAGGUGCUCAAUAACUGGUUAUGGAAGGAGUAUAGCUGGGUAAUAUGGUAUCCCCAUAUGAACAGAAAAUAAAACCCAGUAGAGGCUUAGGUCCAAGGGAGGGGCAGGAAGAGAGUUUCAUUAGUCUCCAAAUGUCCUGAGUCUAGCACACUGCCUGGAAUAUACUAAAUGCCCUCAUAAGUGCCCUUUGGAGUGAGUAUGGAGGGUGCUCCAGAUACGAGGCUUCCAUGGGCCUAGAGGAUGGACUCAGGAGGUUUGAGACUGCAUUUGGAUUGCGGCCAGAACUCAGGGCCCCAUCCCAAGAAGUUUGAGGCCCAGCCAGACCACCAUGAGAGCCUGCAGAGGACUGGGGUUCAGGGUACUGGGGGCCUCUUUUAGGAGUGCAGGCUGUUCCUGUGGACUCUGCCAGGGCUCAAAGCUGCGGACUGGGGGGUGGGCUGGAUCAGAGUGAACAGGAGCGGGCAGGCUGGAGUUGGGACACAUUCUCCAGCCUCUUCUGUUUGCAGGUGCCUGAGGACACCUUCAAACCUUCUCUGCUCCGUUGUAGAACUUUUUCCAGCAAGGGGGAGAGGAAGGACAAAAGGCUAUGCCUUGGGCUCCAAAGUUUAGGAGAGGAGCCAUGGAGAUGGACAGAGAGAGAUCCCAUUGUCUCUGGACACUGCUGGCCAAGGGCCUCCACCUCAGGAGCUGCUGCCUCUCAUCCACUUCCGGGGCGAGGGUAAUGGAAGCUCCCUACCGCCAAGCACCACGACCCUCCCCUGCCUUCUCCAGGCCUAAGGGUCAAGCUGCCAGGCCACCAGGCAGUGCCAGAUACUUACAGCAUGCCUACUGUGUGCAAAAUGCCAUGCUGAAGGCUGUCAGGGCUUGAAAGGUGAUGAUUCAGCAGAGGAUGCUGUUUGUGCCUCACCCCGUGUCCUCUAGCCCACUUCUCCACUCAUCUGCCACCGUGAUGGGAAGGUGUCAGCAAGCCCAGGAAUUGUCCACCCUAAGCAGCCUUUCUGCUUCUCACCUGCAGAGUUUCUCCAGUGCAGGGACCAAGAGAGCUUUACUCAGCCCACAGGACAGCUGGGAUUUAGCACUGCAGGGGCAACCCUCAAGUUAUUAAUAAGAGAUAAGAAUGGGUGGAUAAGCAACCUGGCUGCCUUGGAACUCCGUGGGACAAUUCCAUGGUGUGUUCUCACAGUUCCUCAGUGGGCCCCCAUUGCCCACAAUGAAACUCGAUCAUUAACCACUCUUCACUGGCUUUUCUCCUAACCCAUCCCUAUCUCACUUCCCCUUUCCCUCCCUCCAGCCUCCAGGGAUCACCUCCUCAGUAAACUACCUGCACCCAAGUUCUUGUCUCAGGGUCUGAUUUCAGGAGAAACCAAACUAGGACAUGCAGAGACACGCGUGCACACAUACACAUACACACACACACACACACACACGCGCACAUCUCUGUGAAAAGAUGAGGCACAGAGAAGAAUCAUUCCCAGUCAUGACUGGAUGGCACCAAUAAUAAAGGCUGACACGUCCAAAGCUCUAAGACUGUGCUCCUCACUUU